GACGUAGGGCGCGAGCGUUUGUCCGGAAUUAUUGGGCGUAAAGAGCUCGUAGGCGGUUUGUCGCGUCUGCUGUGAAAACCCGAGGCUCAACCUCGGGCCUGCAGUGGGUACGGGCAGACUAGAGUGUGGUAGGGGAGACUGGAAUUCCUGGUGUAGCGGUGGAAUGCGCAGAUAUCAGGAGGAACACCAAUGGGCGAAGGCAGGUCUCUGGGCCACAACUGACGCUGGAGGAGCGAAAGCCGUGGGGAGCGAACAGG
rnacentral:rRNA from 1 species